rnacentral:rRNA from 1 species
CAGUCGCCACGGGAAUACGGAGGGUGCAAGCGUUAAUCGGAAUUACUGGGCGUAAAGCGCACGCAGGCGGUCUGACAAGUCAGAUGUGAAAUCCCCGGGCUUAACCUGGGAACUGCAUUUAAAACUGUCAGGCUGGAGUCUUGUAGAGGGGGGUGGAAUUCCAGGUGUAGCGGUGAAAUGCGUAGAGAUCUGGAGGAAUACCGGUGGCGAAGGCGGCCCCCUGGACAAAGACUGACGCUCAGGUGCGAAAGCGUGGGGAGCAAACAGGAUUAGAUACCCCUGUAGUCCCUGUCUCUUAUAC